rnacentral:rRNA from 1 species
UCGAGAAUAUUCCACAAUGGGCGAAAGCCUGAUGGAGCGACGCCGCGUGCGGGAUGAAGGUAUUCGUAUUGUAAACCGCUUUUUUUCGGGAAGAAUUUCGAUGACGGUACCGAAAGAAUAAGAGGUUACUAACUCUGUGCCAGCAGUAGCGGUAAUACAGAGACCUCAAGCGUUAUCCGGAUUUAUUGGGCGUAAAGCGUGUGUAGGCGGAUGUGUUAGUCGCGGGUUAAAUUUUUGGGCUCAACCUGAAAACCGCUCGCGAAACGGCACGUCUCGAGAAAGUGAGGGAUUGAUGGAACUCAUGGUGUAGUAGUGAAAUGCGUUGAUAUCAUGAGGAACACCCAAGGCGAAGGCAUUCAAUUGGCACUUUUCUGACGCUGAGACACGAAAGCGUGGGGAG